rnacentral:rRNA from 1 species
AUGCAAGGAUCAACCAAUGUGGAUAACAAAAUCUGGGUGCGAGCUUCCGGGAAAUCUAAUUGGGUCUAUGCAAACAAGCAGAUGUGGAAGAUAAUCCCUGUACAUUGUUCAGGUCGAUUUGGCAAAUCUUUGACAGUAGCUGUGGGUCUUAUACUGAUGGCAAUCAAUGUGUCUUUUCCGACAAACCAAGGGUCGAUUCCAACAUAUGUUUUGUCCAUCUUUGAAGCCCAUUGGCUACUCAUUGAUCUGCUUCACUACUCCACAAGUUUCAGUUUCUCACUAGGUUCUCUCGAGCGAUGGGUAUACUGGAUGUUCAAGGACACAGAAGGCUUCAUGAACCACGCUCUUGCUGAACUUUUUUUUUGCAUCAUAACAGUGAUUCCCAUGAUCUUUCUAUGUGCCUUAUUGAUGGACGGUGUUGGGGCGUUCAGGGCAGAAUGA